rnacentral:rRNA from 1 species
CACCUACGGGAGGCAGCAGUGGGGAAUAUUGCACAAUGGGGGAAACCCUGAUGCAGCGACGCCGCGUGAGCGAUGAAGUAUUUCGGUAUGUAAAGCUCUAUCAGCAGGGAAGAAAAUGACGGUACCUGACUAAGAAGCCCCGGCUAACUACGUGCCAGCAGCCGCGGUAAUACGUAGGGGGCAAGCGUUAUCCGGAUUUACUGGGUGUAAAGGGAGCGUAGACGGCGGUGCAAGCCAGAUGUGAAAGCCCGGAGCUCAACUCCGGGACUGCUUUUGCAACUGUUGAACUAGAUUGCAGG